rnacentral:rRNA from 1 species
CAGUAGCCACGGGAAUACAGAGGGUGCGAGCGUUAAUCGGAUUUACUGGGCGUAAAGCGUGCGUAGGCGGCUUUUUAAGUCGGAUGUGAAAUCCCUGAGCUUAACUUAGGAAUUGCAUUCGAUACUGGGAAGCUAGAGUAUAAGAGAGGAUGGUAGAAUUCCAGGUGUAGCGGUGAAAUGCGUAGAGAUCUGGAGGAAUACCGAUGGCGAAGGCAGCCAUCUGGCCUAAUACUGACGCUGAGGUACGAAAGCAUGGGGAGCAAACAGGAUUAGAUACCCGCGUAGUCCCUGUCUCUUAUAC